rnacentral:rRNA from 1 species
GACGGAGGGGGCUAGCGUUGUUCGGAAUUACUGGGCGUAAAGAGCGCGUAGGCGGCGUUGCAAGUUGGAAGUGAAAGCCCGGGGCUUAACCUCGGAAUUGCUUUCAAAACUGCAAAGCUAGAGUGUAGUAGGGGAUGAUGGAAUUCCUAGUGUAGAGGUGAAAUUCUUAGAUAUUAGGAGGAACACCGGUGGCGAAGGCGGUCAUCUGGGCUACAACUGACGCUGAGGUGCGAAAGCGUGGGGAGCAAACAGG